rnacentral:miRNA from 1 species
CAGCAGACACAUUCCAGCCAAUCAGCAGCAGACCCUCCCUCCCACCUCCUGGACAGCAUCCAUUGUGAAGCUGCAUUCUUAGUGAGCUGCCCAGGAGGUGGGAGGGCAUGGGAGGGAGGGUCUGCUGCUGAUUGGCUGGAAUGUGUCUGCUG